GUUUCUUUGGCAGUGUCUUAGCUGGUUGUUGUGAGCAAUGGUGAAGGAAGCAAUCAGCAAGUAUACUGCCCUAGAAGU
rfam:Pteropus alecto contig55530, whole genome shotgun sequence.